UCUCCUCCUACCUCUUCUGCUUCCUUCCUCCUCCCCGGAUCUGCAUCCCAUAUGAGGAGUAAAAAUGGUGGCGGUAGAGCACGGGGUUGGUGAUAGCGGUUGGACGAGGUAGUCCACAGGCGAGGAACGGCCACAAAGCAUCCAUCCGGCCACCCCACCGGAGCCUCGGCGGCUGCAAUGGCGCUGCCAUUCUCUCUCUCUCAUGCCAUUGUUUCCCUCCCUCAUCCAUCGACACAGCCCGGUCCACCUCACCGAGAGCUCUCAGUGGUAGGGGAAUGGCAGCGACGGUGGCUGCUAGACAGUAGAGGCUCGCCGAGGUGGUCCAUUCCAAGGAAGAGGGAGACGAUGUCGGUGACAAGGAGAGGGUGGAGAUGAAAUGGGGCCAAAUGUUCCUGCGGCAACAAUAGCAGAUCUGAAUUUGUGUUGCUAGGGUGCAGACUGGCCUGGUUUCGAGGAAAAACAUGAAGAUUCAAUUGCCAUUUUCUCUUGCCAAUUCCAUUUUCAGCAACUUUCAGAGAUGCCUCUUCAUUUGUUAGAAAAAAACAUGGAGAUUCAAGUGCAUCUUUUCCUGCCAAUUCCAUUUUCAUAAACUUUCAAAGAUCUUCAUUUGUUAGAAAAUACUUUUUUUGAAUUAUGAGCUUGGUCUUUCAACAUGGCAUACAAAAUGUACCUUUGAAUAUAAUAUUAUGUUGCUACUUGCAAAGUUUUUUGUGUGCUAAAUUGUUGUUCAAAUUUCCAAGAACAUGUUAAUUUUAUGUGGCUGCAGAGGGGUAUAUCAAGUUAUGAGCAGGGUGCAUCAAUGGCUCACAGCGGAGGAAGCGGCGGUGACUGCUAUUGCUGCAGCAAGGCGCUAGCUAGCUAGGUGUAGCUGACACAAUAAGGUUGCCUCCCUGGUUCCCCCUGAUCUGCGCGGUUGGACCUUCAUAGCGUUGUUCAACCACAUCCACAUGGUGGUAUGUGCGAGCGAUGACGCUGGUGGCCUGUGGCCAGAUAUGGAGGCUUAGCUAAUGCAGCGGCAUGGCAACUUAGAUGCGAGCACUAGCUGUUUGUAUAAAUGCACAAGGAGGAGUGCUCAGGGGAGGACGAUAGUUGUUUGUAUAAAUGCACAAGGAGGAGUGCUUAGGGGAGGACGAUAGCUUUCAGGUGUACAUGGAGGAGGUGAAGGCGACUACAGAGGAGCUUGCCGUAGCUGCUCACCUGCUCCGGGAAUCCUCUUGACAGAAGCACGAUGCCAUGUCCUAGAGUUUGUUCACGUACUUCUAUCUGCCUAUAAUAUAUGCUGACAAUUAUAUGUGACUUAUUAAUUAGCUAAAACUUGAGAGGUUAAGGACAAGUGUUUUCAAAUGAAGGAAUAUAGCGUACGUACAGCUAAUUACAUACACAUAUGCAUCAUUCCAUAAUAAUUGGAAGUUUGGAUAUUAGGUAUUUGUUAAAGACCAGGGAUCCUAAUUGGCCAUUCCCAUACCACAGUUUUCACUGUAUGUAUCUCAUGAACAUUAUCAUUAUGCUCUGUACCAGAAUUGUCACUGUAUCUCAUCAUUGUUUGGAGUAUACCUUUGCAGCUCCAUAGUUAUUAGAAUGGUUUUACUUCCACAUAAUAGCCUUGUUCAAAUAAAAUCACAAGACCUUCGUAAGCUUGCUUAGUUACUAUGGAGAAGGGCCUUCUUCCAAGGAGCUGUAGAUUUUGAAUAUGCUGCUGGUUGGACACUUUUUCCACUAUAUGUACAGAAUAGGGGUAGGGAAGAGCGCAACUUAGGUUUUGGGGCAGGCCUCACUAGCAAUUAUGGCAUCCUCUUAUUUGGUUGCAGGUUACUUGCCUUGUUCUUUCAACCCAUCUCAAGAAUUAUAGUGCAGUUUUUGUGGAGAGCCCAUGUUGGUUUGCUUGAUUUAUGUUCAAAAUGGACAAUACAAUGCUCUUUGAGUCAAGUUUGUAUAUAUUCCGAGUACUCCUUUAUUAUUUAUCAACUGAGGCAUGAUUGUUGUUGCACUUCUUGCUAAAAAUAAACCUGGUGUUAUUUUCUUUGAGAAAAGAAAUAGACGGCUCAGAUGUGUGCUUCUUAGCAUCACAUCAAAUUGAAUAAUCGAAUAGGGUUAUAUAUCAUCAUAUCUGCAUACAUAAUAUCUUCUGUAAUUAUAUACCGGUGUAGGCUCUUGUUGUUAGAUGAUGAACUUAUGUUAUGUUAUGCCAAGUAGUUAAAUUUAUGUGCACCUUCUCAUGUGUUUACUUGUUUCUGCUUUUAUAGUAUGGCUUGGUCCUGUUGUGAAAAAAGAUCCUGAUAUGUUUGACUAUUCUGUUUUUUCUUUAUCCAAUGACCUAUUAAUGUGCUUUGAGCAUAUGACAAUUGUUUCCUCACUAUCUUAGAUUAGUUGUAAUCCUUCUUUUAUGUUUCUGCAAUUUCAGUUCCUGCCUUUUGAAAUUUCCUUUGCAUUCUGUAUCUGCACAUCCCCUCUUGUGGUCUGUUGUAAUGGUCUA